GUUGUUUGUGAUAGCUGUGUACCCAGUAUGUGUACGUGCGGAGUGAGUGUUGUGUGAUGACAAUGGCAGUGCCGUUGUUAGCGAAAGUGAACAGCUGAUCGUUACUGUUUCGUAAAUUGUGUCUUAUUUGUAUUCUAAAUGUGGCCAAAAUGCCCGUUAGGAAAUAUAGAAGAGAUACAAGUGAAGUGAGCUGUUGCCUGAAAUAUGUCAUAUUUGGAUUUAACGUGAUAUUCUGGGUAAGUGCCUUCUGGUUACCAAACCGCAGAUUGUGAGUACAUUGGACUCUUCGACUGAAGAAUUUAAGAAGCCACCCCUGUGAGUACACUGGACUCUUCUAUUGAAGAAAGUAAAAAAGC